CACGGGUGAGUAACACGUAUCCAACCUGCCGUCUACUCUUGGACAGCCUUCUGAAAGGAAGAUUAAUACAAGAUGGCAUCAUGAGUCCGCAUGUUCACAUGAUUAAAGGCAUUCCGGUAGACGAUGGGGAUGCGUUCCAUUAGAUAGUAGGCGGGGUAACGGCCCACCUAGUCUUCGAUGGAUAGGGGUUCUGAGAGGAAGGUCCCCCACAUUGGAACUGAGACACGGUCCAA
rnacentral:rRNA from 1 species